rnacentral:rRNA from 1 species
AUGUAUGUCUACGAAUGUCAUUUAAUGGGCCUUGUGCCUAUAAACCAUAAUACAACUUUCAACAACGGAUCUCUUGGCUCUCGCAUCGAUGAAGAACGCAGCGAAAUGCGAUAAGUAAUGUGAAUUGCAGAAUUCAGUGAAUCAUCGAAUCUUUGAACGCACCUUGCGCCCCUUGGUAUUCCGAGGGGCAUGCCUGUUUGAGUGUCAUUAAAUUCUCAAACUCACAUUGGUUUUACUAUUUGUGAUGUUUGGAAUGUUGGGGGUUGCUGGCUGUGACAGGUCGGCUCCUCUUAAAUGCAUUAGCAGGACUUCUCAUUGCCUCUGCGCAUGAUGUUAAUUAUCACUCACAAUAGCACGCAUGAAUAGAGUCCAGCUCUCUAAUCGUCCGUAAGGACAAUUUGACAAUUUGACCUCAAAUCAGGUAGGACUACCCGCUGAACUUAAGCAUAUCAAUAAGCGGAGGAAAAGAAACUAACAAGGAUUCCCCUAGUAACUGCGAGUGAAGCGGGAAAAGCUCAAAUUUAAAAUCUGUCUUUGGCCAUCCGAGUUGUAAUCUAGAGAAGUGUUAUCCGCGCUGGACCGUGUACAAGUCCCCUGGAAUGGGGCGUCAUAGAGGGUGAGAAUCCCGUCUUUGACACGGCAUACCAGGGCUUUGUGAUGCACUCUCAAAGAGUCGAGUUGUUUGGGAAUGCAGCUCAAAAUGGGUGGUAAAUUCCAUCUAAAGCUAAAUAUUGGCGAGAGACCGAUAGCGAACAAGUACCGUGAGGGAAAGAUGAAAAGAACUUUGGAAAGAGAGUUAA